ACCUUCUAUUAUAGAAUGAAGUCUUUCAACUGGUGGUAGCAAAAUUAAGAAGCCAAAUGAAAUGAAAUAAUACUGUGAUCUGUUGUUUUAUAUUCAUAAACACUGGUAAUUUAUGGUUGAUUCGAUGGUAUGCUCUAGAUGUGGUAUGAGACGGACAAAUCAGAACUCAUCCUUGCGCAGCUAUUGUGUCUGGAUGCAGGAAAGCCUAGACCUAAAAUUUCCAAAUGCCAUGAAAUGGGUGGUCUCCAGUCGUGGAAUAUCAUUUGAAAAAGGGUUCUCCCAUCUACAAUGUAGCAGCUGGUACGUGCUUGAGUGCAGAGACGGCAGAACAAGGCGCUUAUGUAACAAUGGACAUCUGUACUAGUGAACUGGUUCGUUGGGAUGUCAUUGAAGUCUAAGUCCAACAAUUCAUUCAUAGGAAAGACAAAUCAAAGUCUGUAUUCUGCAGAGAGUUUUAAUUUUUUCGAAUCAAUUUGUGCCUUAAAGGAGGGGCGUCUGUGUCUUACCGUUUUUUAGUAACGCACCAAAAAGUCUCCUCUUAGAAGUAGAAACCAUAGGGAAACACUCACUGAUUGCUAUCAUAGUUUUCAAAGCAGGUAGAAAUGAACUCUUAGCAUGUAUAUCAAUUCUACUUACUUCGGAAACCAACAGAUAGAUGCACAAGGUAAAAAUGUUUUGACUGGGAGCUUGUCAUGUUCCAUAGAGUAGUUAUUUCUGAUAAUGGUAGCAUUAUCAAAGUUAUCGGUAUUUUAAAACAAGAUGCAAGAUAGCACUGAUAGCCUACCAACAACCCGCCCGGCAAAACGUGUGCGAAAACGUUGAAAAAACAUCGUGACAAUGUCCUGUCCUCAAGUAACGUUGCUACAACCCUGUGACGACGUUUUUUCACUCGUUUUGCCGGGCGGGAAGGCCUCUUUUGAAACUUUCACCUCAAAAUGGUUAAAGCAAGGUUUUCACUGAAUCUCACUCUUGGAACUUAUCUUGGAAAUACAAAGUAGGAGAUUUAAAGGAAACCAAACUUUGCAUAGGACCAGAUAGCUUUGAUAUCUCAAGAAUUUAAAGUUGGUAAAAAUGAAAUGAGAAUAUAGUUAUUUCCAAGCUCUCUUUAAUGACCAAUAACAAAAUAUUGGAAGUAAUCCUUGAGACCUUACUUUCUACAAUAGUUCAAUUUCACCUUGUCUUUUUCUUCUUUUAGAUUUCCCCAUCAGUGCAGUACAUUCAUCUUUAUUUGGCAAGGUUAUGAUAAAAAAUUUGAAUUUUUGUCACUGUAUUGCAAAAUCUUUUUUCAUUGGACCAUCAGACUAAAUGAAAAUUUAUUUUGCUUCUUGUUUUCUCAUCAAAAUUUCAUGUAGAACAUGAUCUGUGCCAUGAAAAUUAUUUCAAGUAACGUCUAACUAAGAUGUCAACGUUUCCGUUGCAAAAAUUCAAACUUUCUGCUCACGAAAAAAACCAUGAUCCACUAAUACUAAACUUUACCAACACAGUCUCUGCAGUGUAGGAAAUACGGCAACCUCAAUCUCAGCGCUGUGGCUCAGCUGUUACUUGCUCUUUAUAAUUUCAACAUCAUAGAACGGUAUAGGAACACAGCUCGAUUAACAAGCCUCAAAAUCUUUGUAGUACUCGAUUAGAUUCACCAGACACCCAGAUUUCCAGAUUUCAGUUUUUCUUAGGAGCUGGAAAGUCAAAUUUUUCAUUACCAGUGAAAAGUAAAAACGAUAAUAUCUUAAUCUCUGUAAUUUUCGUUGCGCAAAUCAUGUUUUACAUGAAAUUUUGUUGAGGAAACAUAUAUCAGAAUGCUUUAAUUUGUACCUUGUCUAGUGGUCCAUUCUAUUAAGGUACCUAUUUUUUUAUUUAAUCAUCUAUUUAAUUUUUUUUCUCAAAUGAAUCUUCCACCAUUCUCUGUAGAUAGGAUAGUAAAUCGGCUAGAGAUCUGAUCAAAUAUCUAUUCUGCAAAAUAAUUUCAUAAUUUUGCAUUUUAUUCAUUUUUCAUUUACAAGCCUUUUGGCAGUUAUUUGUAUAUUCUCAUGACUGGGAACAAGCUCCAUUUAAACCAUUUCUACUUUACAUGGACAUAAUCAAACUGGAUAAAAACAGUCGUAGCUCCUCUUUGUCUGUACAUAAAAGACUGAAUGUAGCUAUUAAGAGCAGACCAAAUCAGGUGGACCUAUGAAUGGAAGACAUGAUAAUCUAAUACUCAAGCCUCAAAUGUUACUUUGUCAGAAGAUGAAUUCCUUAAGGAAUUGUUUGUUUUUUGACUUUCUUAAAAUCGAUAUCUUAAGAUCUGAGUGUUUUUAAAUCAAGGUAUAAUUAGCACAUUUUUCUCUUGAUAAUUAUUCUCUAAAUCACUAGGAAACUACUUAGUUCAGAAUUUAGCAAAAUUUUAGAAGUACUCAAUGAUUUCAUUAGAUUUCAAUAAACAACAAAAAAAUGACAGUGAGCCUUACUACUGCUAAAUUACUCCUGUUACUUGUUGGAUUACAGACUUAAGAAUAUUUAUGAAACAUUUUAGGAGUUUAUUUUGCCUUGCAAUGAAAGAUUAUGAAAAAUAAAUCCACUCUCUUUCACUAUGGCAAGGGCUUAAAAAUACGAAAAACUACUGUAAGAACUUAUUAUGCAUGAAUAUUUAGACGUAAUUAUUUUGCAGCACAUAAAUAUCCCCACAGCAAAGGAACCUUUCAGUCUCUUGAAUUUUCUGUUAAAUUCAUAGUGGCGCUUAUCAUUAGGAAAAUUUAGAACUAUUGGUAAAUAAAAACAUUCUUUAUUUCAGUGCCUCUGAUUCUAGAGAAAAUAGAAAAUCAGGGGAAAAAUCUAUCAUCACAAAAAAAUGUUCAUUCUUCAAAGACCAAAAUGUGUAUCAUGGAGUAAGAAACAUAAAGUAUUCUCUUCUAAAAUUGUCAAAUAAAAAAAAAUGUGUGCUCUUUUCCACCAGAGGAACUCACCCCCACUCUUUGGAAUACUCAUUGUAUUUUGAUCGAAUCUCAUUCUCACUCACUGAGAAGAAAAAAAACUAAGUUGUAAGCAAUCAAUUUAGUCUGUAGCAUUUAGUAAUGAAUCUUUCAGGUUACAUGAGGUAACUUGCUCUGUGUCCUCUCUAAUGCAUUCCAGCAGCCCUCAGUUAUUUUUUAAGCUUUGAAGGUAAUUUAGAAAGAGUAGAAUAGAUUGUUUAAUAAUUCUUUGAGGAUUUUGCUCAGAUAUUAAAUUUUGAAAAGUCCCCCUUCCACACCAAUAUUUGAUAUGCCCCAUAAAAAAAUCUUAAUUAUCUCCCAAUGAUGAUUCUGGAAGAUUUAUAUCUGGUAUAAACUUAUUCAGGACCAAAGGAUUUAAAAAUUAGGCGCCUGCUUAGAACUGCCUGUAAAUACUUAUCAAAGUAUGAAAUGAGCAGACUCAAAACAUUCUUCUCUGCUUUAAACUUUUACUCAUAAAAUUGUUAUUUCUUUUUUAUUUUGUUUUAGUAUCUUCUUAAUUUGUUAUUUAUGUGUUAUGGUAUUGAUAAGAAUGCAGGCCAGACUUCCCCAGCUUUUGUUGAACACUUACCUCACUGGACUCUGUAUUAGUGUAGUAUCGAUGGUGAAACUACAGAAAUACGUAUCUCGAUUUACGGCAUUACAGACUACUAUCAUACUUUACUUUCUACAUAAAAAACCAUACUACGUCAUUUCAUGAUAACUUAGAAUUAUUCUAUGUGAAGAAUAUUCUUUAAAAAUUUUAAGCCAUGAUGUUUGUCCAGUUUCCUUUGAAAAAAUAAAUAAGAGGUGAGAUUUAAAAACAUCGCAAUUUAGAUAUGCAGUUUUGCAGUUUCACUGCCGAUAUAUAGUUGUCUGGUUAAUCAUCAAGAUUAAUUAAUAAUUAUUUCUGCUUAGGCCAAACUUUUUAUUCGUGCAACUCAUGAAUUAGUUUUUUCUAACAUAUACACAUUUGUAUGUCUGAUUUUGAUUUUUAUGUUUUUCAAGUUAAGCUAGCAAGAUUUUAGCUGAACUUUUGUUAUUUUUCUACCUACUUGUUGUAAAUUUUUGCAGAGUGCGCUUCAAAUCACUAACUGAGAACUGUGAUUUUUAGCAUGUCUACUCUGCUUCUGUUGUAAAGGAUGGCAGAAUAUGCUGUGCCUGUGAUAUUUAAUGAUUUUAGAAUUCUCAAAAAAUUUUGGGUUCUGAUAAUGUUUUAUUUUUGUACCAUUGAAAGAACUUGAUGUCUGGGGGUUGACUGAAUCAAGUUUGGAGAGUGUAAUAAUAAAACAACGGAAAAUGUGUUAGGAUUAGAAGAAAGAAACUGUGAAAAAUUCAUGGUGAAUCAUUCUUCAUCACCGUCAUCAUUCGUUUGAAUGAUGAAUUCUUUUAAAAGAAGUGAGAAAAAACAUUCAGUGUCAAAUAAUUUGAUAUCUUUUUUGUAAAUUUGUAAUCUUGUCGUCCUGUACCUUUGAAACUACAAGUAAAAUUAGCUUCGGUAUAUAAUUCAGUCAACCUCUAGCAAAUGUAGGAAGUUACUCAGUUAGGAAUCUCAAGAAAUGCAAAGAUGUAUUUCACCCUUAAAAGACGAAUCUCUUUUGUACAAUUCUUGAAAUAAAAUGUUGUUUUUAUUUUAGUUUUGACUUUUUUUAAUUCUUUUCAUCAGUAUAAUUUUUAGUUUGAGCGUUUCCCUAUUCUUACUUUUCCU
rnacentral:lncRNA from 1 species